GGCAGCCGCCCUGCGCGCCGCGUCACUCGGCGCCUUCGGCGAGCACCUACCACUGGCCGCGCGGCGGAGGGGAGAGGCCGCGACCCUUCUCCGGCCGGCGGGCGACGCGCCACCCCUCGGGGCGCCUCGGCCUGGCGCUAAAUUUAAAAAUUUAACUGGCGCAGCUGGCUGGCUCCGGAAACGAAAGUAAUUUCGUCCCGCGGGCCGCCUCCCGGGCUCUGGCGGCGCCUCGGCGCGCCGCGCUCCCCCGAAUAGACCCUUCUCCCGCCAUUUUCCGCCGGCUCGUGGCAGGCCCCGCGCCCCGCGGGUGAGGCCUGCUGCCGCCGGGCCUGCAGGCGUCGGGCUCGCGCCCCCGGAGAAGGCGGCCGGCAUGGACUGCGGGAACGGGGCUCGCGCCCGGCAACACGUGUUCCUGCUGCCAGAAUAUUUAAAAGAUGCUUCAAAGAAGAUGAAAAGUGGACUUAUAUUUGUAAAAUUGGUGAACCCGUGUUCAGGGGAAGGAACCAUUUACUUGUUCAAUAUGUGUCAACAGCAGCUGUUUGAAAUAAAAGUUUUCAAGGAAAAACACCAUUCUUGGUUUAUAAAUCAAUCAGUCCAGUCAGGAGGUCUUCUCCACUUUGCCACACCCAUGGACCCUCUAUUUCUGCUUCUCCACUACCUCAGAAAGACUGGUAAAGAGAGCACAGGAGCUGCAGGACAGGGAAAAUUCCAGCCCCUAAAUCAAGUUGUGGUGGAUGACAUGUUUCCAAAUUGCAUCUUGUUGCUGAAACUUCCUGAUCUUGAGAAGUUACUUCGACAUGUGACAGAGGAGAAAGAAAUAGACAAAAAGAAAUAUUACAAGUACAGCAAAGAGAAGACAAUAAAGUGGCUGGAAAAAAAGGUUCAUCAGACUGUGUCAGCCUUAAAAACCAAUAACAUAAAUGUCAGUGCCCGGGUACAGGCAAAUGCAUUUUUCUCUGGGGACCAGGUUUCCAGUGACAAGGAAGAGGAUUAUAUUCGUUAUGCUCAUGGCCUGAUAUCUGAUUACAUCCCUAAAGAAUUAAGUGAUGACUUAGCGAAAUAUUUAAAGCUUCCAGAAACUUCAGCGUCGUUGCCAAACCCUCCAUCAAAGAGAGCAGAGAAGCCAGUGGUAAACCGCACCUGAUGGCAAACUGCAGAGUCCCUCAGUCCAGGCCUGAUCUCAGACAAGUGAGCGCUGCUCAGAGACAGGGAAAUAAAUACACGCACCAGCUCGUCCAUGAGGCCAUUCUCUUGCCAACAGAAUAAUGAAUGCCUCGAGACUGGAAAGUGCAUGUUGAAGAACUUUCCUCUCUCCCGGCCUUCAAGGUGGCCAACAUGCUUGGAUUUUUUUUUUUUUUUUGGUCUCAUGUCCUGUUUGGAGGUUGUGGCGGCUCUGAAAGCACUCAUUACUUUGACUUCUGAGAAGGACAGAAAAUUUCAAGUGCGUCAGCCUUAGCGGUGGCCAUUUUCAGCAGGCUGUCAAAGGAGCACCAUCCUUUUCCUUUGGGAGGAAUAGCGCUGGGCAGAGGUCAGCUGCUGUAGGGCGUAAGGUCCUUCUAGAAAGUAAAGUUAUCUGAUGAGCCCGUAGAAGCAAAAGAAGAUUACACUAAGUUUAACAGGAAAGAUUUGAAGACUGAAAAG